rnacentral:rRNA from 1 species
CUAGAGACGGGGCAGGAGCGGGGGUAAGGCGGAGGGGGCGAGCGGGGGGCGGAGUGAGUGGGCGUAAAACGGUCGGAGGGGGCCACGGCAAGUCGGAUGUGAAAGCGCCCGGGGCAACUGGGAGGGGUCAUGCGAUACUGGCGGGCGCGAGGCCGGUAGGGGGUAGCGGAAUUCCGGGUGUAGUGGUGGAAUGCGUAGAGAGCCGGAGGAACACCAGUGGCGAAGGCGGCGACCUGGACCGGUGCUGACACUGAGGAGCGAAAGCGUGGGGAGCGAUCCGGAUUAGAUACCCGAGUAGUC